rnacentral:tRNA from 1 species
UCCCAUGUGGUCUAGUGGUUGGAUUCUGGCUUUCACCCAGGCUGGCCAGGUUCGAUUCCAGCAUGGGAA